rnacentral:lncRNA from 10 species
CGCCAUUCCAUGAUCAUUGGGUUAUCGUCUGCAUUCCUGACGUAGUGUUUACAGCUUCCUGCUUAUGGCAACAAGGAAGCAGAACGCAGAGUGAUGAGAGAUUUAUGUGGAUAUGAUAGCACUGGACACUUCGAGGCUCCAUUGGCAAAACAUGCGGCAAAUAGGAAACCAAGGGUAGACCUUUGACAUUUAAGAAGUAUAUGCCCUAAGAUUUCUACAGAUCCUGAAAUUCAUCACUACGGCAGAAUCACGCAUCUUAUGAAAACCAAGAAUAAAAUGACACCUGACAACCUUGCCAGCUCAGCACAUCUGGAGGCACUAAAUGUCUGACCCAGGAAAUGUGCAUCAAACUGACGGGGUCUCAGAAAAUGUUACUGCAAAAUGAAGUCCUCAGAAGCAGCUCUCUCUCUGACCUUCUCCAAACCUCCUGUCUCUGGACCUUCAUUUCCACCCAUCUCCUCCUCCCCACCACCGCCAGGCUGGCCAUGCGUACUAGACUCCCUCUUCCUCAAGGUGAAUUGACUGCUGGGGAAAUGGGCUCAGGAGAUUAAAGGCCUGCUUAUUAAUGGAAAGAGCUUCCUCCCACACACAGAUAUAUAAAGCCGCCUCGCCAUUUCUUCCUUCCACCGUGACCCAUAGUCUUUCUGGGACAAGGGCUGAGAUUUCACAGCCGAGUUUUAAAGUUGCUGGGGAUGCUAACAACAGGGACUUUUAUGCUUGAAUUUCUGCUGCAAAUCAUACACCCUUGGACUCAGUCCACUAAGUCUAUAGAAUUAUCUGCAAAGCAAUGCAAUAGGAUAUACAAAUUUUUUGACUAUUUGUAUCGAAAAUAAAUCAGGACCUUGAACUAUAUAAAAAGCUAACACAUUAUCAUGAAAACUCUGCAUGAAUACUGAUAAAACAUACUGGAUGCCCUUUGACUCUUACAGUCCUUGUUCUCAUCUUUUUGCUUAUAUCCAUUUCUCUUUUCAAUUAAUUUGGAAUAAUUUUGCUUGAAUAAUAAUCUGAUAGUAACUUCAUUAUUUCUAAUUAUAUUAUCUUAAUGUGCAAAUUCAAUCAUUUUUGGCUUACAUUAACAAAGAUAAAAAUGUGUGACAGAGGUUAGUAAUAGAAGGUUAGUUUUACAUGAAAUGAGGACCAGAUAAAAGACCAGUACAAUGUUAUAUAUUUAUGUCCUUCACAUGAUAGGCAGACAUCAAUCCUUGAUGUCAUGUUCAAAUAAAGGACUUAUAUAUAUGCAUAGUGACAAAGCACUAUGCAUAUGUAUAUGCAUGGGAACAAUGGAGAGAAGUUCAGUGAGAGAAUUCCCAAUUGUAUUAAUUACUACAAACAUUUAUUGAAUAAAAUGUGCAGCACUUAUAGAACAUUUUUCCUAUGGGAUAAGUUGCCAAUCCAUACUUCAUUGUUGUUGCUGUAUCAGCUCAGACUCUUUGAAGUUAGUCUUAUUUAUUCACUUUUUUAGCGGAUCUACAGGGGUUAUGUAAGUUGGCUAAACUCACUCAACUAGUAAGACAUAUACAAAGGAUGUAAACUACGUUUAUGAGGUAAGAAAGACUAUGAUUUUGCUUUUAUUACUGCGACUAGGACCCUCUGGGGAUACAAAAGCUAUGAUAAAAAAAAUUCAUUAGCCUGUGUGUCUAAUAUGGCCCUCAAAGUAGUAUUAUCAUUUGCAAUUAACUAUAACACUGAAUCGUAUUCUUCAAAUGCAAACCAUGGGCCUUGCAGAGCCUUUAUAGAUGCUCUGUGGCACAGCACUUAUUUAGUCUGUCUCUUUAAUUAACCUGAUCCAAAUGUGACAUUAAUAAAUUGUUCUUUGUGAACCGAAAAGUCGUAAUUACUCAGAAAGGACAUGCUUAAUUGUCCUUUAUCUUUAGCCUACCACUAUACACAUCCAACAAAUCAGGUCAAAAUUCUCAAUUCAAUUUCCAAAUAAUUCAUAAUAUUUUUAUUUACUAUAGCAUAACCUGGUCAGGCAUGGUGGCUCAGGCCUG